AUUGAACGCUGGCGGCCGGCCUAACACAUGCAAGUCGAACGCGUGGCGGACGGGUGAGUAAUGUCUGGGAAACGGCCUGAUGUAGGGGGAUAACUACUGGAAACGGUAGCUAAUACCGCAUACCAUCGAAUGUGCACAGAUGGGAUUAGCGAGUAGGUGGGGUAACGGCUCACCUAGGCUACGAUCCCUCGCUGGUUUGAAGGGCUGACCCGCCACACUGGAUCUGAGACACGGUCAAGACGCCUACGGGAGGCAGCAGGGGGUAAUAUUGAACAAUGGGCGCAAUCCGGAUGCAGCCAUGCCGCGUGGAGGAAGAAGGCCGUCGGGUGGUAAAGUACUUUCAGCGGGGAGGCGUUACCCGCAGAAGAAGCACCGGCUAACGCCGUGCCAGCAGCCGCGGUAAUUC
rnacentral:rRNA from 1 species